UGCUGGUAGAAAUUCGAUUUUUCCGAUCUCUUCGCGAGGAAGAUAUAACGCGCUGCAGUUAGGUUUGCCAUUAAUAGGCCCCUAUCAGCAGCAAAUGCUCCUCAAAUUAUGGAGAACGGCGAAAGAAUGUGUUUUUCUUUGAUCGUGUCGAUUGUUGCUGGUAGAAAUUCGAUUUUUCCGAUCUCUUCGCGAGGAAGAUAUAACGCGCUGCAGUUAGGUUUGCCAUUAAUAGGCUCCUAUCAGCAGCAAAUGCUCCUCAAAUUAUGGAGAACAGCGAAAGAAUGUGUUUUCUUC
rnacentral:misc_RNA from 1 species